AGGAAACAAAUUAUCUCAAUCCCAGAAUGUAAACUGCCAUUGACAGAGAUGCAUGAAAGAAUCAUAACAGGGAAACCUGCUGCAAUUUUUCAUCCAGUUACCAGCUGAAUCAUUGCUGUUAAACUAAAGGAGCAAGCUGCCAGCCCAGCACUGACAUGGAAGAGUUCUUCAGAUGUCGUUGUGUGCACAAAGCAACCUUAUAGUCUGACUGGCAUUUGCUCCUUUUCAUGCUUGCAGACUGAUAAUUAUUGUGCACUGCCUCAAGCUUGCAAUUAGAGGCCACCAAGAAACAAAAAAAGUUGAAUUUCAAGAUUGAACCUUUUCUAUGGAUAGUUGCAUUUUCCCAGCACGAUGACUAUUGUUAGGAGUGGAUGCAGAGAAGGCACCUGUGCCAAGCUGUUAACAGCUAACCUACAAAAGUGGCUUUAACCAGGACAUAAAGAUGUCCAAGAAUAUAUGAAUUCAAAAGAAAUGUGACAGAAUUAAAAAUGAAUGAUCUCUCAAGAAAACCCAAGUAGCUACUCAAGGAAACCAAACUGAGACAGAGGCACCACCUUGGAUGUUUAAAGAAUUAAGCUUGUCUACGUUGCCAUCAGGGGAUGAUUCUGAAAUCUAAGAUCUCCUCAACUGAGAGGCAGUGCUGGAACGUGAAGACCCACCCAAAUCACUGCCAUUGAUCAAGUGACCUAAAGUGGGAGAAACAGUUUCCCAAGGCAAAUUCUGUCAGCCUUCUCACUCAGCAGUGAAAUGAUCUGGUGAAGAUUCCUCAGGAAGAAGCUUACCAAGUUUCCUUCUGCAGAUCCCCAUUGAUCAUUUAAAAGAAAGACGAGUUCUUGGGCUAGCACAGGACAUAUACAAGAGGAUGAAUCCCUGCCCCAGAGAGCUUCCACUGGAAAAGCUGAAUGCUGCACUUUGAAGCCUACAUGGAAUCUCCUGCUGCAUUCAUUGCCUUCAGGGGAAGCUGUGCGCAGAUGCAAAGUACAGAAUUUUCACCCAAAUGGAAGCAGAUGUGUGGAGAAGACAUCAGCAUUGGAAGGCUAUGUGAAAGAAAAACAUUCUUAACAGGACCAAGUGUGGUGGACAACUAAGUAAAAUUAACAGACGUUAGCAGUACGUGGUGAAGUCAUGGAAACUGUGAGGUUAGUUGUCUGAGAUAGAAAAUGGAUCUCUAUUCAGUAGGUUAUAAAGUCAUCUUAUAAAAAAUAUAAGUGCUUUAAUAUUAUGUCUAAAUGGAGAUCAUUGGAGAUUGUUAUUUACCUAGGGCCCAAUCCUGAAAGGAGUUUUAAGUACUCAGCAGUUAAGAUCCCACCCAUUUCUUUGGGUGGGAGCUGUAUGUAGUUAUCAUAAUACAGGAUCAGGCCCUAAAUUGUAUAGCUGACAUGAGAUAUUCAAAAUAUGUAACAAAUGAUUUCAGUACAUCUGCUUUCAAAAAUGAAGACUUGGCUUACCUCCAUUCAAAAUUCAUAUUCUUGUUAUAUAUCGUCAUAGAGUGAUUUCUUGGAAGGUGGCUUCUUGUAUUAUGAUGAGGACUUUCCUCUGAUCACAUAAAAUUACACCUGGGGUAAAUAUAUUUUAAAAAUUGGUGGUUAAAGUUUUAUAAAACCCAGGAUGAGUAUUGGAUGAAAUAUAUUUAGGAAUGUCUGAGUUUUAAUCCAAGUAUUAAAGACCCUCAAAUUCUGCAGAAGUUUAAUUUUCUUCUGUAAAAAAAAGAUAAUAGCAUGAAUAAAAAUGUUUUAUGUAUUGCUGACUGUAAAACAUACUGCAGUCCUUAAUGUUUUACAAAACAGAUUUGUUUUAUCAUCAAACGGUAGUCAGGUAUUAAUUCAAAGCAAAAGACCUAGUUGUAUGAAUUUUUUGCUGACCUGAAUCCAAACAUCAACCUACACUACAAAUUUUGAAUUUCCAAUUUGUAUUACCCUAGUACUUUAAUGUAUCUGCAUAAGGCUUGACAAAUGAAUACCUUCCACCAAAAAUUGUGAUAUUUCCUUUCCAAAAAUGACUUUAUCAUUUUGUAGCAACAAUUACAGGUUGCAUGAGAUUGGUAAAUGUGUUAUUUCCUGAAAUUGCAUGUAAUUGGUUUUGAAAAGAUUGAAACAUAGUUUUGAAGUUAGUUAAAUGCAUAUCAUCUUUAUAACCGCUUAAAUCAUGUUAUUUAACAAUUCCUGAAAAUUGAAUACCUUUGAUAAUAAAUGCAAAUUAGGGGGCAAUAAAUUAUAAGUUGUAGGGUGACCAAUGUCUGAUUAUAUGUAAUAUAAUUAACUCCAUCCUUCUUCACAUAGUGUUUAUCUUAAUAAUCAGCUUAUGUACAUUAGAAUAACUUAAAACGUUUGGUGUCUAGCUUUUUUUCUUUAGUUACUUGUGCUGUAUAUUUUAUAAUUAUUUUGUAAGUCAGCAGAGUGGAAUUCAGAAUUAAAUGGCUAUCCUUUUAAGAAAGAGUUAUGUUAAUAGUAAUUCUGCUAAUAGUAUGAUAUGGCUUUUAAAUACUGCUCCAUACAAGCCUGUGUGAUUUUGUUCAAAAUAGCCUUUUAUAAUUGUUUUCCUCCUUUUUAUACAUAAUUUUAGUAUUUUGCAUCACAGAUGAUGCAUUGUUUUUGUUACUUGGAUCCAAGACUGUGAAACAUGCUGACAAGCAACACUUUAACCUUAUUCUACUGAAUUUCUUUGCUUGUACUGUAUUCUCUUAACUUGCAGUGGGAUUUGGAAUUAACAGAGGCUCUAUUAGGAUAAAUUGUGGCAGUCCAAAAAUAAUCUGGCUUCAUUCUUAGAAUGCAACUUGUGUUAUGACAGAAAUUAACAUUUCUCUGACCUAUAAUUAACUGUGUCUCCUUGUGCUAUAAAUAAGAUAUGGCAAACUAUAGCUGGAGUCAACUAUAUCUUAAGGUCAACUUAUCUAUAGCUGUUUUUUAUUUAUAGCUUUUUAUAUCUGCUAAUGACAGGGGAGUUCAGGGUACAGACAAUAAAGAACACAAAUAAAAUAUGUGAAUGCUUUCUUCA